CCGAGUUUACAACUCCCAAACCCCUGUGAACAUACCUUAUCGUUGCUUCGGCGGGUUCGCCCCGGCGCCCUCGGGCCCGGACCCAGGCGCCCGCCGGAGGACCCCGAACUCUUGUUUUUUUGAGAAUCUUCUGAGUAAACAAGCAAAUAAAUUA
rnacentral:misc_RNA from 1 species